UUCUGCAUCACUCCAUCCAGCAGGCCGUGACGAUUUCUGGAGCCACGAUCGACCACGCCGUGAUACCAUGUAAUCUUCCCUUGGGCAGGAGCCACGACGUGCUAAUCCCCGACGUUUUUCUUCUCCUAAUUCGUCUCCCAACCCUGCAGAUCCCGCUCUCCGCCCCGGCGGCGGCGCAGCAGUUGCUCGAGGAUCAUUCGUCGUGCCCUUUUGUUACUCCAUGAAAGGUUCGUUGUUUCUGCCUCUCUUUUAUAUGGUGAUUCUUGGAGAUUUUCCUUCCUCUCUGUUUCUCAUGAACAGGCUACUCCCUAUUUCAUAGUCACGCUCACGCCCUAUUUCAUAGUCACGCUCACGCAUAAACUCGGCUAGCUUGUUCAUGGAUCCGUGGCUGUAUUCUUGUCCGAUUGUAGAUUUGACAUGCUAGUUUGUUUGAUUUUAAUCUGGCGCUAUGGUGUUUAUUCGUUAUAUCGCUACAUGUUUGUCCGCCGCGAUUCAAGCCACCAGACUUUGGUGUGCACCAAUACAUGUUUUAGAAAAUCGGAUAGAAUUUGUUGACUUCCGAUACAACAUGAACCUGUAAUUUGAUGAAAGUUUAAUCCCGUAUUUAACCAGAUAAAUAAAGGCUAAUAAAAGCAAUUCUAGCUGUGAAUAGUUCCUUUUUUUUGUGUGUGUUAUUCAUCCCGCUCAUUUUCGCUGUCAACACUACAAUUAUAAUUUGGAUAGGAGUAUUAGUUUUGGUGCAAUGAUAAAUACACAUUGUAUUUGUGAGCUGUUUCAGAAACAUGUGUUUUUUAGAAGAGAAACAUGUUUUUGUUCAAAACGAGGAUGCGCACAAUACAGUCAUACUCUUUCCUGGGACGAUAAAGCCUUUGAUGUAAAUUCGUACCCGGGUUCAUGUUGUGUACACAAAUAGUUAUAAUAUGAUCUGUUGUUUUUCGAGACAAAGACAUCAGGUUUUUUUAGGGGGAAACGCUAGGCAUCGGUCGGCUGAUCGGUAAUGUCCGGCACCAAUGUGUCUUCCUCGCCCGCACCUCCUGCUCUGUGUCGUCCUCUCUCAACACACCCGCAUGACUGCUUCUCCCGCUCGCAACAUCUGCGCACCUCUGCCAGCUUGGCUCACAGCGAUGCCGUCCCUUGCAGCAUCACCAACCAUCAUCUCGCAGCGGCACUUGUCAUGCUCUAGAAGCUUAGGAUCAACACAUCCCUCUUGCAUCACCGUGUUUCUCUGUUGCACAAUCGGUGGCAUCUCCGUGCCCGCCCUGCGGUAGUGGUGCCUGGCCCUUGCAGUGUGCAUUGUCGUCAUCGCAGCAUCGGUCGACGACAUGGUUCAUUUGCAGCACGACCUGGCCAUGAAAAGCCGGGCCCGACGGCCCAACCCGAAAAUCCUGCGCCGGACCGGAACUAAUUGUUCCAUCGGACUGGGCUCGGGUCUGAAAUUGUGCCCGACGGUCGGGCCGGGCUCACGAAAACAUGAUUUUAGCCGCAAUCGGGCUGUGUUGAGCAUUUUUGGGUUUGGGCCCGAUUUAUUAGGCCCGACGAUCAGACCAGGCUAGACUCGGGCCUGAGUUUUUAGCAUCGGGCUUUUUUCGGCCCGGCCCAGCACAACAAAUUCCCAGGUAUACUUGCAGCACUGGCAACUCUGGGUCGCAGCAUUUUUUUUCUUUUCAAAACUGGGUCGCAGCAUCUUGCAUCAUCGCUUGUAGCAUCGGUAGCCGGCGUGGUCUGCUUGCAGCACCAAUGCGUAUGCACCGCUAAUAGUAUUCUUACUGACGCUUCCCAUGUGGAUUAGAGCGGCAUGGCAAUUGCCUGAGAAAUCAGGGCCGCUCGUUGGUGGCUCGGUUGCUAGUUUGUUCGGGUAAACAAAGCUGUGUCGCUCCAGGUCACAGGUCACGUAGGAAUCUCCAAACAAGAUACAUUUGCACCGUGGCACCUAAUCACGAACCAGAUCUGACAUGCAUGCGGGCAACAUUUGUAAGGACCGUGCAGGUGUGUACAAAUUGGAAAACUGAGUUACACCAUGUAAACUGAUGAACUUCUUUCCACGUCAAUGAAAAGGUACGUAAGCUUUAUGUGUGUGCGAAAAAAAGAAUGUCAAACCGGAUACAAUAUGAUCAAUUAUCUAAGACGGCCGGGCAAUUUCUUUCAUCCCAGACACUAGGGAGUUGGAAUUUACUCUGUUUAUUAAUGUAUAUGUAGUGGGUUUGUAGGUAUGAAUGAAAUCAUUGGCGUGGCCACAACGAGUUCAUAUGACCUCAACCAAUAAGCGUUGUGUGCAUUUUAUCUUCUUCGACGAGUUAACCUUAUUAACCCAAGAAUGUAUUAUGUGUACCUUGUCAUGUUUUCUUUUCGUCUUUCCUCCACCUCCUUAACUUUCAAAGGUUGGUCCACUAUGCUGUCAUGGCAUUCUUCUCAAAUUAGGAACGUGUGCAACUAGCGAUUAAGCGAAACCGAUUAGUAGAAUUCCAGUUCAUCUGGGUCCGUUCUUGCUCUUUGUCCUCAAUUUUUGUCCCUUUGAAGGUAAAUAAAGGAUGGAGGGUAGCUUCCCUUCCACUUGUUGGCAUGUUGAGCUAUUGUGAAGCGGUAAAGCUCCUCAUCAGCGUGUCGGUAACCGGAUAUUUGUGAUGGAUAUAUAAAGAUGAUAACUUUUGCCGAUUAGCCCGUUUUUUCAUGGAGAAGUAAAGAAAAAAGGUACGCAUGCUACAAUCACACCUGGUCAUUUGGUAGUUCGAUUAUUUGUGUUCCUUUUAGUCAUAGAAGUGAAGUGACCCCAACUCUGUCGAGAUCUAGUGAAGUGACCCCAACUCUGUCGAGAUCUAGUGAAGUGACCCCAACUCUGUCGAGAUCUGCUCUCACGGUUUCACCUAGACAUGCAUUUGAAAGUGUUCAACUCUAAAUAUCGUGCUAUAUGGCGAGCGCAGAGAUGAUAUGAUCCAUGGAGCUAUCUUUUUCGUUUGCUUUCCAUUUCAUACCCAGUCUUCUUUUUUACUAUGGAAAUUACAUUUUGAUCGUUUAAUUUAUGCUACUCUUAAAAUUGUCAUUUCACUUUUUUCCACUUGACAAUGCACCACAAUAGCCGCUUUGUAUACCUAUGCGAGUUAGUAACACAUUAAGAAGAAUCGAUUUCAUCAUUAACUAGGAGUGGAAUAUUAGUCACACUGCAAGUUACAUUCAUAGAACACCUAGAUUAGGUUGGUCGUAAUGAAAGUAUCAUAAACAGUAUCAUGCAUGCCAAUUAGGCUUAUUUGAUGAUGUGACACAUCAUUAAAUAAAGAAAGAGAGGAUGUGGUAACAUAUUAUGAUACCGUAUCAUAUUAAGUACUAAUUUGUGUCAUGCAUGACAAUUAAUAAAACAACCUAGAUACUAACUUAUGAUAAUAUGCAUUAUUUAAAUAAUGUCAUAUACACUAGUAUCAUAUGCAUGAUACUAGUAUAUGAUAGUUAAACUCGUUACCACAUGAUGACACGCACCACCUGGUUGCAGCUACGACCGCCUCCACGGCCAUGGCCACCACCAGCAUAGACUGCGGCAAUGUGGAAAUGCACCUCACUUGCCGUACUGCUAGCUACCCUACUCUUAUCCUAAGCCGAAUUAGGACCUAGCACAGCUUCCACGCCUCACUUGCUGUGACAGGUCCUGGCCAAGCUACCACUGGAUGGUCCAGGUCGCGAACCAAACACGGUCAGGAGCUGUCACACCAAGCACAAGCGGACCAAAUAACACCUAGCUCAAAAAAGGUCAACCAGAAACAGAUGACACCCAAACACUACCAGCAGGAUUUGAGCCAUCUCAAACAAGCAGUUUUGACAGGAACAGAUGACUAUUGCAAAAUUUCUCAUCGCAACAUUCGCUGUAUCACCACAUUGGUCCACUGGUUCAACAGCAAUAGAUGAUGGCACAAGUCUUAGAUUCAGCGAUCAUAACAUGAUAGCAGGAAUUCGAUUAAACCCAUAAGUUCCUUAGCCAAAAUUUCAUCUCCAUUUGUAAACCACCCCUCUGUCCACUAUGUCCAUGUCCGUAUUCCAGUAGGCCUGCAAAAAUUUAUAAGGAAAAGUUACAUGUUAGUGGUUCAGAUUUCACAGAGAGACCAACAAGAUACAUCAAAUGAAAGGAAGAAACCCUUAAACUGAUUACAACGAUGCAUGCUAGUGGUUCAGAUUUCACCGAGAGGCCAACAGAAAUUCACAUGUUAGUUAAUUAUUAAAGUUGUUUUUGUCUCUGAGACUGAUUUCAUAUUUUCAGAUGUGUUGUAUUUAUAUGCUCAUUUUUUAGAUGUAAUGGCAACUUAACCUGAUCUUAGAGGUUACCCAACUAAACCUUUCAGAUAUAAUGUAUUUACAGGCACACCGACCAACGGUCCGGAUUUGAUCUCAUUUGCAUGUGCAGCCUUUACAGUUGUUCAAACAUUUACUAUUGUAUUGAUUUCGAUGGGGUUUGGAUAUGGACCAAAGAAUUUAAUCAAAGUCAGCUGCCAUACAAAUAAACACCAGCGAGGCAAACAUUAAUAACCCCGCCAUAGAUAUUAGAGGAACAGCUCACAGGUCGAUGUCUAAGACACGAGUGAAAUAUGACACCAUAUACAUACUUAGUACUACUCCAUGAACAUGACCAAUCACAGUAGUAGUUUGAGCAUGACAGGAGCUGUGACCGGUUGUUCUUCUGGCAGGGUUGAAUUACAGCAGCAAGGUUAGCGAAGCAAAUGGUGAUAGGAAGCUUGAUGCCACACGCUUUAUUCAUGAUGCAUUUGCUAGUCUAGGAAAAGAAACAUAGAAGAUAUUGCUGAUUGAGGGAGGCUCCAGGCCAGGAGCGUCACGCCCAGCACACACAAACCAAAUGAGCCCAGCUACCCAAUUACGCUGCAUCUGAUUACACCCUAGCUCAAAAGCAGGAUUUGACUACAUACCAUCUCAAACAAGACAGCAAUAGAUGAUGGCAUAAUUCACUAUUGCAAUCUAUCACCACCAUAUACUCAGCCACCGCCAGCCACCUAGUGAACAUCCAAUAUCCUACUUCGUGUCACUAUUGUACAUUCCAGAUCUCAAAACUGUAUGCUGCUGUCAUGACAAACAAGAAUGCAAAUCUGAUCUCAUGAUCAAAUAUAGCCCAUAACUGAAACUUCACCAAAAAUCCAUACCCAAGCUUGAGAAAAUUGUGAAAACAUUUAUUCAUACUCCCUCUGUUCCUGAAUAUAAGGUGUAUUAUUUAUGUAUAUUGUAUAAAACAAUUGUAGAGCCUGUGCUCAAGAAAAGGUAACAAAUUAAGUUGUACAUGGAGGGCAGGUUUUGCACUCCACCAGAACAGCUUACAGCAAGACAUGUCCCAUCCUCAAUGAGAACAGCAGAACACUGUACACAGAACACCAGCAUGCUGCCUGACACAAAAUCCUGCAGUUUCAAGUGAAAGGAAGCAGAGAUGCACGGCGAUACAUCAUCUCUUGUCAAGACUUUAUACACC
rnacentral:lncRNA from 1 species